ensembl:lncRNA
CAGACCUAAACCAGGACUAAACCAGAACUAAACCAGGACUAAACCAGGACUAAACCAGAACUAAACCAGGACUAAACCAGGACUAAACCAGGACUAAACCAGAACUAAACCAGGACUAAACCAGAACUAAACCAGAACUAAACCAGGACUAAACCAGGACUAAACCAGGAGUAAACCAGGACUAAACCAGGACUAAACCAGAACUAAACCAGAACUAAACCAGGACUAAACCAGGACUAAACCAGGUCUAAACCAGGACUAAACCAGGUCUAAACCAGGACUAAACCAGGACUAAACCAGAACUAAACCAGGAGUAAACCAGGACUAAACCAGGACUAAACCAGAACUAAACCAGGAGUAAACCAGGUCUAAACCAGGACUAAACCAGAAC